GGUUACUAUUUGUCCAAUUCAUCCAAAUGCGUUCAGUCAAUGAAUGAUUGCAUAUUGCAUGCUGAUAGAAAGGUGGUGGAGAAAGGUUCUUGAGGGGGUGUGUGUGACGAAUGCUAGAUGAGGAGCUAAGGCCUAAUUGGGCUGGGGGUAUUGAAGAAUUGUUCAUCAUGUCAGAGUCUUUUUCCAGAAACAAACAGGUUUCAAACUUGCCAUUGACUUGUACUCAUAAUGGCAUUCAAUGAACAAUAUCAGAGGGAGUAUAACAACUCCAGAAAGCAUAGCACACAACAUAAUCUUGGUCUCAGGUACG